rnacentral:rRNA from 1 species
UACGGAGGGUGCAAACGUUGCUCGGAAUCAUUGGGCGUAAAGCGCACGUAGGCGGACUGUUAAGUCGGAUGUGAAAUCCCUCAGCUUAACUGAGGAAGUGCAUUCGAAACUGGCAGUCUUGAGUAUGGAAGAGGGUCGCGGAAUUCCCGGUGUAGAGGUGAAAUUCGUAGAUAUCGGGAGGAACACCAGUGGCGAAGGCGGCGACCUGGGCCAAUACUGACGCUGAGGUGCGAAAAGCGUGGGGAGCAAACAGGG